CAGGUUGGAUGAUGUUUACCUACACUGGGGAAGGCUAAUCCACAGAUUCAAAUGUUCAUGUCUUCUAGAAACACUCACACAAACAACUCAGAUGAAUGUUUCAUUUGAGCAUCCACAGCCACUCACAUGGACAUAAAAUUAACUAUCCCACCACUUCUGAUGGGGAAUGAAGACCGAGGGGGUCAGUCCUUUAGAACGAGCAUCGGAAGUGGCAGCAGGGGAGAUGGGAAAAGAGUGAAUGGGUCAAGGAGCAGGAAAGAAUGGGUGAAGGUUGGUUCUGUCUGUCCAGAGGGAAAACUGGCCCUAGAGCAAAUCCAAGAACCUUUGCCAGCGCGAGGGUACAAAUGUGAAAUUAUAAAGUAUCAUGCCUCUCUUCUGAAACAUUGCCUUCAAUUUUACCAUGUUGCAUUUUGCCAGGUUCCUCUGCAGGUGCAAAAGUACAAAAAGGUAAGUGGUCUCGCGUAUGUCUGAAUUUUCAACCCAGAGUGACUGAGAAGUCUCCAAAUCUUAUUAGAUUGAAAAGGAAUUAGUUGGAUUAAGUUUUCUACAUUGGACAGGUUGGGGGUUCAGAGUCACACCACAAAAUUUAGUUUUAGAAAAUAAAGUUAUGGUUCAGUAGCCUCUGAGAAUAUCAUAGUAAAGUUCAUAUUUGUAUGACUUGGGGUAAAAAUAAAGAUCCUGAGGCUUAAGAAAACUUAAAAAAAAAAAGUCUGAUCUAUGAAAUAGAGAAGUGUGAAAAUCCCUAGUCUAUUCCUACAGAGAAAUUCAGUGAUUUGCUCAAGGUCUCAGAAAAUAACAGAGGCUAAAGCAAAGACAUGACCCAAGGAUAUUUCCAUCCUUUGCUUUUAGGAUGUGUGCAAAGCAAAGGAAUGUCAGGCGUUGCUAUGUGUUGAGUGGGGUAGACUCUUUUUAUAGGUAACCUGUCUUCUUCCAUGUUGAGGUACCUUGAAGCAAAUAUUCUUAGUUUUGCACAGGAUGACCUGAAGCCCCUCUUGGUUAUGCCUCUUUAGGUUGAAGAGACACUUAUUAUUCUGGGAAAAGAACAGGCUGAAGCCUUCAGCCACUUGAUGAAGGCUGCCCUCCCUAAGCCCUAAAGAGAAGGUGCAUCCGUUUGCAUCAGCAUCCGUGGGGCUUCGGGGAAGCAAGGGACUGAGGUCUAAACUUUGAUAUUUGAAGUUCAAUCACUUGCGUCUCAAUGAUGGGGAUAUCUGCUGGCAAGAACAGAACAAACAUCCUUAAGGAGAAAUUCGCAAAAAAGGAUGGGGGUAAAUUGCCCUGGUUGCUUUGGUACAACAAAAAGCCUCCAAAGUAUCAGGCAGUGGGGACAAGUUCAGUUCACACAGAUCCAGUCCCAGGCAGCAGAAUCUGAUGACAGCAUUGCUAGUAUAUUGACCAGACUUUCUAAUUUUCUCUCUCUCCAACCUACCCCAUCAUUCUUUUUUUAUAUAUCAUGAUUUUAUUUAUUUUCUCAUUACAGCUGGUUUAUAGUGUUCUGUCAAUUUUCUUUUUUUCUUAAUUUAUUUUUUUCCCACUAUACAGCAAGGGGAUCAAGUUAUCCUUACAUGUAUACAUUUUUUCCCCACCCUUUGUUCUGUUGCAAUAUGAGUAUCUAGACAUAGUUCUCAAUGCUGCUCAGCAGGAUCUCCUUGUAAAUCUAUUCUAAGUUGUGUCUGCCCAUCAUUCUUGUAUAGAGUAAAGACUUUGGAAUGGAUAAGCCAGCAGUGUUUUUGGUAAGUUGGUAAAAGGGAACCUUAAUAACAUGAUGCUGGGUGUUUUUCUAAUAAACAUUGUCAGGACUCAAAAAUUAAUUGAGGGAGAGCACAGCAUUAACAAAAUGAUGUGAUUUCAUUUAAAUCACAAAGCUGAAAAACAGGGACUCAUCUUUGUUGCUGCACAUAGCAUUGUUUCAAUCUUUUUUAUAGCUGAGUAGUAUUCCAUUGCAUAUAUGUACCACAUCUUCUUAAUCUAUUCAUUGGUCAAUGGACAUUUAGGUUGUCUCCAUGUCUUGGCUAUUGCAAAUAGUGCUGCUUUGAACAUACAGGUGCAUGUAUAUAAUUAAAUAAAGUGCCCGUGGACUUUACAUGUGUUGGUGGAUGGUAUGCUGAAGGAGUCACGCAUGGGAAGAAUACCUUAGGAAAAGAAAAGAAGAAACUUUGUGAGUGUCUAGGGAGCAACUUAUAGAAAAGAACCCAGCUGGCUGCUUUGCUGUAGAUUGUGGUUGAGGGGGCUGUUCUCAGGUGGAAGGGACAGAAAAGACCUUUUUGUAACAUGAGUAGCUCUGCAAGGGAAAGGGAUCUCCUUGUGACCCAGGAGAUAAGGGGUGAAUUGUAUGGUGGUGCUCCCUGAACUUCACAGAAGAUCUCCCUUUUGGGUUGCCCAGUUUGAGCGCUCAUAGAAAACUGUGUGCAAUAUGCAUCUACAGAUAUCAUGUUGACGAGUUCCCAUUGUGGCUCAGCAGGUUAAGAACUUGGCAUAAUGUCUAUGAGGAUGUGGGUUCAAUCCCUGGCGCCCAUCGGUGGGUUAAGGAUCUGGCAUUUGUGAUGUGGCUCAGAUCUGGCGUUCCUGUGACUGUGGCAUAGGCUGGCAGCUGUAGCUCUGAUUCAACCCCUAGCCUGGGAAUUUCCAUAUGCCACAGGUGUGGCCUUAAAAACAAGCAAACAAAAAUACAAAUAUCAUGUUGGCUAGUAGGGAAAAGAAAUGCGUUGCAGAGGAAAUGUAAUAAAACUCAAUUAUUUUGGCGAAUAUAUCUAAACAGGCAUUCGCUUUUAGUCUCUGUAAUUUAGGUUGCAUGAAGAUGUUUUAGGUGAAGCUGGACUCUUUCUUGGCUAGUAUAUGGGCCUAGAGAAUGUACAUCUACUCUGACUCAGCCACUAAAUCGAUAAUUGGCUUUUCUAAUCCAGAAGUUCAUGUCCAUGUGCGUAAUAGCCACUUUGACUUUGAGAUAGGUGGACAAGUUGGUUUUCUCCAGCGCCACACCAAGCCUCUGCUCAGCAUUUCUUAGAGGUGCUGCCUAAGUCAGAUAAUUGAAAAGAUUCCUGCUACCUAUGUAAUGGCCUUUUGUGGCUCAUAACUUAGAACCCAUAACCUAUUUGUCCAUAACUUAGAACCACUCAAAGGGUUAAGUGAGCCUGUAGGAGGGAAUGAAAUCCCACUCAUGGAUAUAGUUCUGAAGUAUGGAAUGUACAGGGCACGUGGCCAAACAUAAACACUGCAAAGCAGCUAAGGUGUUGAGUGUCUCACUGAAUAGAUGGCCUUUGAUUCCACUGCCUGUCUCAUGCCCCAGGGCUGUUGGCAGCAUUUCCUGCACAUGUCAGCAAUGCCAUGUAACACAAAUGCCCCAGUGAUCCUUUCUUCUGGAAGGUGUUGCAGGCAGUUCUGUGUUUCUGAUGUCCAGACCAGAAUACCAUGAAACUCCAGCCACGGUUCUUCUGUGCUCUCUAUGACGGUCCUAUGUCAUUUUGUUUACCACAUACAUUCUUUUUUAGAAGAUUUAGGGACACAUGCUCUAACUCUUUUCAGGGCUUGAUGACCAGUACAACUAAAGUAGAUGCCAAGCCUUCCUCUGUGGUAAAGGGCAGGAUUUGGAGUGAGGAGCAAGCCCCAGGUUUCCCUUCUAUAACUGUGUGAUUCCUCUCCCAUGUAUUGACUGUCUUCUGGGCCAAGCUUGGACCUCUGAAGGUCAGCGUCUUCCCCUGGGCAGCCUCAUGUUGGCACAGGGUGAUGGAGCCAGGAAACACACCACCAGCUCUCACGUGGUUGUCUGUGUCCUCAUAUAACUCCAUCUACAUGGUAAACAGGAAGUCUUCUGCUCUUUCCAGGUGCCAAGCUUCUGCAGCUGUCAGAGUCUCCCAUGCGUGUUUGCUGGGAAGCUCAGCAUCAGGGGAGUUCAGUCUGGGCCCCAGAGUCAGACUCUUAGGCUCCUCCCCACAGACAGACCCUCUCAUGGCAGAGAGGCCAAGGACUCCAGAGAAGUGUAGCACCAGGCUUGGAGUCACUGUUCCAGUUUUUGGAUUUGGGCCAGUGUCUACACCCCUCAAGUAAACAUGGGAGAACGUGUUCUACUCUUCACAGGCAAAGCAGAUAAUAGAAAUUAUCUUAUGAAAAGCACCUGGGAGUUUUGCCAGGCUCAGUUUUGGUUCAUUAUACCAUCUAUUAUUAAUACAUGAUCACAUCAUGAUCACUCGAUCUGAUUUCUUUAUUGUGUUCACAUGGCGGUGGUUUCUCCCAGUUGUUUGUAUGUGUAGACAGUGUAAGUGAACCAUGUUAAAUGCUUAAUUCUUUUUUUUUUUUUUUGUCUUUUUUUUUAGGGCCACAACUGUGGCAUAUGGUGGUUCCCCAGGCUAGGGGUUGAAUCAGAGCUGUAGCUGUUGGCCUACACCAGAGCCACAGCAACACAGGAUUCAAGCCACGUCUGUGACCUACACCACAGCUCAUGGCAACGUCAGAUCCUUAACCCACUGAGCAAGGCCAGGGAUCAAAUCCACGCCCUCAUGGAUGCUAGUCAGGUUCAUUACUGCUGAGCCACAAUAGGAACUCCAAUGCUGAAUUUUAAAAUGUGAUCAUCUUAAUAUGGUAAGGAAGAUGCUCUCUGAGGAGAACACAUUUCUUUCACUGAUUCUGCAAUUUAGAAAAAUUUUAUCCCAGGUCUUUAUAAUAAGAUGCUGCUAUGAUCCCAGCAUCACUGUGGAUUAUCAUAAUGAAACAUGGAGAAUAAAAAAGAUGUCAAGAGAUGAAAAAAUACUGUGGCAGAGACACCUAGAUGAUCACCCAACAGCUGGUCUUCUCUCCUUUGCUAAUGUAACUCUGAUUUCAUCCGGGGAUGAAGCAACCCAUGAAAAUCUACUUCUCAGCCAGUCUUACAGCUUGCAAUGGCCAUGUGACUAGAGUCUGGCUAAUGAAUUAUAACAACCAAUGUUAAUGUCAUGUGAAGUCCAAGAGCCAGUAUCAAUGUGUCUCUGGGUUGACUGAGGUCACUUAGCUGGGAAGAGUGGUUCUUUUGUCUCUUAGCUCUUCUGACUACUGUCAUCUUGUAAUGAAGCCACUUGAAAUCAUGCUAUAGUCUAAAGGUGGGGAAUUAUACACUGAGAUUAGUGAAGGGCUAAGAUUGAAACCUAGAUUUUUUUUUUUUUUUUUUUGGCCUCAUCCAUGGCAUGUAGAAGUUCCCAGGUGCGCAACCGAACCUGAGCCACAGCAGUGACUGGAGCUGCUGCAGUGGCAAAGCCAAAUCCUUAACCCAAUGUGCCACAAGGGAACUCAAAACCUGGAUUAAUGCUGGCUCUGUGGAGCCAUCAAACCUAACUCUGAACUGUCUACCUCUGGAUUUUUUAUUUCGAGGGGGAAAAAAUUCUUCUAUUUGAUUAAUAUUAUGUUGUCUUGGAAUAUUUCUUACACAGCUGAACCUAACCUUAACUGAUAAAUUUUCCAGAUACUACAGUUUUCAGAGACUAGAGAUAAGUAUGUAUAAAUUCCAGGAAAAACUCUCCAGGAUACAUUAAGUAACAAUAAUUUGUGUCAAAUUACCUUAAUUUGGGGGGACCUUGUUAUCAGAUUAGUAACUUUCAUUUAAUAACCAUUUUUGGAAGAUUUACUACUUGUCAGAUGCUAAUUUAAAUCCUUUACAUGUAUUAUCUUUUAUAAUCACGGCAACCAGUCUAUCAAAACCCUUACAUAGCAAAUGAUAAAAACUGAAGCAGAGAGGUUUAAACAACUGAUCCAAUGAAACACAGUUGAUGGUGAGAAGAUACAAAUUCAAGGAGUCUGAGUGUAGAGGUCACUAUCCUAGCUUGUGUAUCACAAGACAUAGAUAACAAAUGGAUUUUAAUUUUUAUGCAUUGGAUAAAAUAUCAUAAAAGUGGGGAUUGGGAAAUGAUAGAUGAGCAUUUAGAUAAAUUCAAGAUGCUCAACCACUGUCAGCCCGGAAGGAAGUGUCCCUUUACUUGUCAAGAUGUCUUAAUUCACUUCUGUUUAGGAAUAUUAUUAAUGGGUACGGACAUAUAAAGUCUAUUUAUCAAAUGUGCAAGAACUAGAAUAAGCUUAGCCUGGAAAACAGAAGACUCGUGGAAAUGGGAGGUCUCAUCAAAUACUCACUCUAUAAUUUUAGAGCUUUAGAAGCCUCCAAAAUCACCAGUUUAAUGCCUUUCAGGAACGGCGGGAAUUAAAGCAUUACAAGACCUACGGAGACACUAUUUUGCAAUAUUGCAAUAUUUGACAAUAUUCUGAGAAAUUACUUUGACCUAGAAAUUCCACUUCUACAUUACUAUAGAUACAUGGGUGAAAAUUUAAGAAAACAAAAUAUAGGAACACAAAUUCACCAAGUAUUAAGUUAUGCUAAUUACAUAAAACUAGUUUAAGAAAUAAAAUU
ensembl:lncRNA